AGCUAGGCCCGUGCGGCAGGGACUUGCAAACCCCGCCAGGCCUGGAAGGGAGCAACGGUAGUAAGACCCCCUGAGCGUUGCGGCAAACCUGGCUGGC
rnacentral:SRP_RNA from 1 species